CUCCCGAUCCCAUCCCACACGACCCACUAGCACGCCCCGUCUCAUGCCCCCCGCCGCAGUGCGCCGCCGCUCCUUGCCCCGUCGCCGUGCGCCGCCGCGCCUGCCCUACCCCGCCGCCACGCGCCGCCGCCCCUGCCUCGCCCCGCCGCCACGCGCCUCCGCCCCGCACCCAUCUUCUCCAAGCUCCGGUCGCCGUCGCGCCCCCAUCUCUCCCUGCUCCAAACCACCAUGCCAUCUCCUCCUGGUGGGGCUCCGUCGCCGGAGCGUCCUGGCCGUUCGGCGCCACCACCCCAGGCCGUUCAUCACUGCAGCACCCUCGAUUCUGACGGGGGUUAGGCGCAACGAUGAUGGGGACUCGCUCCUGAACGUGACGGCGACGUUGACCUGAAGUGGGGAUUCGUGAGCUGAUAGCGACGGCGACAAGCUCUUCCUCCUCUAGCGGCCUCCUCUGCUCCACCAAGGAGACCGUCAGCAUGCGUUGCCGUGCUCGUGGGCUGGAUUCGAUCCUAGAGUUCAGUUCAUCUACACGCCUGAUCUACAAUUCAGGCCUUGAUGAUACGCUGUACCCGGUGAAGAACAUCAUGUCAGGGUUCAGACCGAUGGAGAGUGAGAAGUACGAUUUGGGUGCAUUCAGAGCAAGAACAGCAAUGGCGGGAUAGUUUUCAUAGAAGAUAGGUACGUGAUGGAGGCGUACAAUAAACAGCAGCGGUAGGAUAGUUUUCAGAUAAGGUAGGUACUUGAUGGAGGCGUACAAUAAACAGCAGCGGCAAGAUAGUUUUGAGAGAAUAGACCAACAAAAAAGUCCGUCCAUGGCGUGCUUUAGAGCGACUAAAAAAAAGAGCCACCGGAAUGUGUUACUCUCAAUCCUCUCUCGACAAAUCGAGCAGUGCAGGUUCUCCGUUGCGCCAAGUUUUGCCGGCAGCGAUGCCUACAUCAUUGCCCAUUGGAAAGAUGUUGCUUUUGUGUAUGCAUAUUUAUAUAUUUAGUUUUGUGUUC